rnacentral:rRNA from 1 species
CAACCUGAGCUCAGGCGUGACUACCCGCUGAACU